rnacentral:rRNA from 1 species
UACGAGGGGGGCGAGUCGUUGUUCGGAAUUAUUGGGCGUAAAGGGUGCGUAGGCGGUUUGGUAAGUCUGAUGUGAAAUCUAUGGGCUCAACUCAUAGUCUGCAUCGGAAACUGCCGGGCUUGAGUGUGGGAGAGGUGAGUGGAAUUCCUGGUGUAGCGGUGAAAUGCGUAGAUAUCAGGAGGAACACCUGUGGCGAAAGCGGCUCACUGGACCAUAACUGACGCUGAUGCACGAAAGCUAGGGGAGCAAACAGG